UUAUCCACUGUUGAGUAUGAGAUAGUGACUAAAAAUAUAAAGACUCAUCCUUUUGGAUGAGUUAUUUCAAUGAGUUGAAUAUAAAUUAUUCUUCGAGUAGCAAGGAGAGGGCAAGUCUGGUGCCAGCAGCCGCGGUAAUUCCAGCUCUCCUAGUGUAUCUCGUUAUUGCUGCGGUUAAAAAGCUCGUAGUUGGAUCUAGGUUACGUGCCGCAGUUCGCAAUUUGCGUUAACUGUGGUCGUGACUUCUAAUUUGCUGGUUUGAGGUUGGGUUCGCCCUUCAACUGCCAGCAGGUUUACCUUGAAUAAAUCAGAGUGCUCAAUACAGGCGCUUGCUUGAAUAGCUCAUCAUGGAAUAAUGAAACAGGACUUCGGUUCUUUUUGUUGGUUCUAGAAUUGAUCUAAUGGUUAAGAGGGACAAACCGGGGGCAUUCGUAUCAUUACGCGAGAGGUGAAAUUCGUGGACCGUAGUGAGACGCCCAAUAGCGAAAGCAUUUGCCAAGAAUGUCUUCAUUAAUCAAGAACGAAAGUCAGAGGUUCGAAGGCGAUUAGAUACCGCCCUAGUUCUGACCGUAAACGAUGCCAUCUCGCGAUUCGGAGGGUUCAUGCCCUACCGAGGAGCUACCCGGAAACGAAAGUCUUUCGGUUCCGGGGGUAGUAUGGUUGCAAAGCUGAAACUUAAAGAAAUUGACGGAAGGGCACCACAAGGCGUGGAGCUUGCGGCUUAAUUUGACUCAACACGGGAAAACUCACCCGGUCCGGACACUAUUAGGACUGACAGAUUGAAAGCUCUUUCUCGAUUUGGUGGUUGGUGGUGCAUGGCCGUUCUUAGUUGGUGGAGUGAUUUGUCUGGUUUAUUCCGAUAACGAGCGAGACUCUAGCCUGCUAAAUAGUCGACGAAUCUUCGGGUUCGUAUAACUUCUUAGAGGGAUAAGCGGUGUUUAGCCGCACGAGAUUGAGCGAUAACAGGUCUGUGAUGCCCUUAGAUGUCCGGGGCUGCACGCGUGCUACACUGGUGGAGUCAGCGGGUUUUUCCUAUGCCGAAAGGUAUCGGUAAACCGUUGAACUUCUUCCAUGUCCGGGAUAGGGUAUUGUAAUUAUUACCCUUAAACGAGGAAUGCCUAGUAAGUGUGAGUCAUCAGCUCACGUUGAUUACGUCCCUGCCCUUUGUACACACCGCCCGUCGCUAUCCGGGACUGAACUGAUUCGAGAAGAGUGGGGACUGUGGCUGCGAGGUUUUACCACUUCGCAGUUGCGGAAACCAUUUUUAUCGCAUUGGUUUGAACCGGGUAAAAGUCGUAACAAGGUAGCUGUAGGUGAACCAGCAGCUGGAUCAUCG
rnacentral:ncRNA from 1 species